rnacentral:lncRNA from 1 species
GCAAUGACAAUAUUUUAAAUACUUGGUUAAGAUGAAAAUGAUAAGGUAAAAGACUUAUUUUCAAAAAAAAAAAGUAAUAACAUUUGCGUGAAUAACUCGAACUGAAGAAUAGGGAAAACAAAAGUUUCAGAAAACAUGGAUUAUUUUUGUAUUUGAUCUGAAAUUUUAAGUCAUAUUUGAAAAAAACCCUACAAAUGUUACGUAAACUUCAACUUUCAUUUCGUGAAAUGAUAUUUACAUUUUUAGCAAAAAGAAAAAAGAUGGCGCACACAUUUAAAAAUGUUCUGAUCUUCCACUUCAUUUCUAGCAGCAUAUAUUCUACUUGGUUUGAAUUUAUGUUUGUGAUAUUCACAAACCACAACUUAAAAAAAAAUGGAUAAGAAACUUUAAAAUGCACGAUGCAAACAAAUAAAGCCAAUUCAGAUUAAGGGU